rnacentral:tRNA from 1 species
ACGGACGUGGCGGAAUUGGUAGACGCGCUGGACUUAGGAUCCAGUACCGCAAGGUGUGGGGGUUCGAGUCCCCCCGUCCGUACCA